rnacentral:lncRNA from 1 species
ACCCCCAAAAAAAAAAAAUCUAAAUAAAAGUAUUUAAAAUUAUAGAAAAACCAUCGAAAUGCUGCAUACACGUAAACGUGUCUCACAUUCUUGUGUGGCCCUAUCAUAAGACCUCAAGAUGGUGUUGAAAGUAUGACGUAGCAAGGCCAACAUAAUUACAGUCUUCAUCUCGUAAAGGUUAAAUGCUAUAAUUUAACCUCGACUCGAGUCAAUUCCGCAGCAAGUCCAAGUCUACUCGGCUUUGUGUGCCGUUCCCACAGAAGGAAGCGUUUCACCCGGCGAGCCGUGUCAAAGACUCAAAAAAGGGCCUCG